UACGUAGGGUGCGAGCGUUGUCCGGAAUUACUGGGCGUAAAGAGCUCGUAGGUGGUUUUGUCGCGUUGUUCGUGAAAACUCACAGCUUAACUGUGGGCGUGCGGGCGAUACGGGCAGACUGGAGUACUGCAGGGGAGACUGGAAUUCCUGGUGUAGCGGUGGAAUGCACAGAUAUCAGGAGGAACACCGGUGACGAAGGCGGGUCUCUGGGCAUUAACUGACGCUGAGGAGCGAAAGCAUGGGGGAGCAAACAGG
rnacentral:rRNA from 1 species